UGGGGAAUAUUGGACAAUGGGCGAAAGCCUGAUCCAGCCAUGCCGCGUGUGUGAAGAAGGUCUUCGGAUUGUAAAGCACUUUAAGUUGGGAGGAAGGGCAGUAAUCGAAUACCUUGCUGUUUUGACGUUACCGACAGAAUAAGCACCGGCUAACUCUGUGCCAGCAGCCGCGGUAAUACAGAGGGUGCAAGCGUUAAUCGGAAUUACUGGGCGUAAAGCGCGCGUAGGUGGUUCGUUAAGUUGAAUGUGAAAGCCCCGGGCUCAACCUGGGAACUGCAUCCAAAACUGGCGAGCUAGAGUAGGGCAGAGGGUGGUGGAAUUUCCUGUGUAGCGGUGAAAUGCGUAGAUAUAGGAAGGAACACCAGUGGCGAAGGCGACCACCUGGGCUAAUACUGACACUGAGGUGCGAAAGCGUGGGGAGCAAACAGG
rnacentral:rRNA from 1 species